CAGCCGCCGCGGGAAUACGAAGGGGGCUAGCGUUGUUCGGAAUCACUGGGCGUAAAGGGUGCGCAGGCUGGUUCUUAAGUCAGGGGUGAAAUCCCGAGGCUCAACCUCGGAACGGCCUUUGAUACUGGGGAUCUUGAGUCCGGAAGAGGUGAGUGGAACUGCGAGUGUAGAGGUGAAAUUCGUAGAUAUUCGCAAGAACACCGGUGGCGAAGGCGGCUCACUGGUCCGGAACUGACGCUGAGGCACGACAGCGUGGGGAGCAAACAGGAUUAGAUCCCCUGUAGUCCCUGUCUCUUAUACA
rnacentral:rRNA from 1 species